CGGGAAUCUUCCGCAAUGGGCGAAAGCCUGACGGAGCAACGCCGCGUGAGCGAAGAAGGCCUUCGGGUCGUAAAGCUCUGUUGUCAGGGAAGAACAAGUACCGGAGUAACUGCCGGUACCUUGACGGUACCUGACCAGAAAGCCCCGGCUAACUACGUGCCAGCAGCCGCGGUAAUACGUAGGGGGCGAGCGUUGUCCGGAAUCAUUGGGCGUAAAGCGCGCGCAGGCGGUCCCUUAAGUCUGAUGUGAAAUCUUGCGGCUCAACCGCAAGAGGUCAUUGGAAACUGGGGGACUUGAGUGCAGGAGAGGGAAGCGGAAUUCCAUGUGUAGCGGUGAAAUGCGUAGAGAUAUGGAGGAACACCAGUGGCGAAGGCGGCUUCCUGGCCUGUAACUGACGCUCAGGCGCGAAAGCGUGGGGAGCAAAC
rnacentral:rRNA from 1 species